CUUACAUACUUUAUUUGAAGAUUCCUCCCGGAGUUCACGCUUAAGUGCAAGGAGUGUGCGAUGUUCAAGCUUGUCUGGAGCAACUCUUAAGACCCAACAACAAACUUCACAGGGCCCUGUGAGCUGCAGGCUGUUCUUGGGACUGCAAAAUACUGGGGAGGAAGGACAGCGGAUAAAUCCUCACAACUCACCACUUAGAAAGUUACACUCUUUAUCGAAGUCACCUGUGCUCGUGAGGUCACUGACCCCUGCAUGCGUCUGUGUGGGCUCCUCAGCUCUGUUAACAAGGUCAAGUGCACAGCUUGGCAUCUGGCCUGGUGAGAGAGCACACAGCACACAGGUUGCUAUAGCUUGCAGCUUCAUUUACUGUUUUGUCCAUUGUUUCUGACUUCAGAAAGUGACAGAGACACUUUAACAACUUGUAGUUGGUUCACUACAAAUAACGCCUGCAGGUGAAUAUUUGAAAAUUAUUAUCUGAUUCUGUAAUGAAUUUCAUUUCAGUAGGGUAAGUUCUCAGGCAGCCCAGGCUGGCUUCACUCUUUGUAGCUAAGAACAAUUUUGAAUUGCUGAUCCUUCUUGAGUUGUGAACCUCCCGACAUGUGUCCUUGCCUUGGUUUAAGCAGUCCUGAGCAUUGAGCCUCGGGUUCCAUGCAUGCUAGCAAGGAUUCUACCCACUCAGCUACGUCCCCACCCGCCCCUCACCCAAACACUGUAUGAAAUUCAGCAAUACACAUCAACUAUCAUUUUCAGCAAUUAUAGUCAUCCUUUGGCAGUAGGUUCAAAAGUUGAACAAAAAGAUCAAUAGAAGUCUCUUAUUAGAACCAAUUGGCUAUAUGAAAUCUGAGAUGAUUGUCGGUU
rnacentral:lncRNA from 1 species